GGGUUGGCUUGUAGGGGCUCCCCUUCUGCUUCAUCCGAAGACUCACUGUAGAAGUCUGAGCAUCCGCCAUGAAGGGACGCCAUGUUAGGGAGAGAGGCUUCUUGGGCCUUCCGCCACAACUCGCCAAUAUGUGUGCCCGGGUGGAGUUUUUCGGGCUUUAACUUUUUUGUCUUUCGCCCCAUCGCGUUUACCUAAACGUUUGGGUCCGUCUGGGUUAAAU